UAAUCGUGAACGCAUUUGGUCGAGACAAUCACCAAAGAAAGAGAGCUUUCAGCGGAUUAGCUUUCUAAAGAGAUCAUAUUGGUGAUAUCUUGUCACAGACAUGGUACGCUGAUUCUGGUGUUUGUGCCGAAAGGAGGUGAUUGUGUGGCAAUCAUGCUGCCGCUGAAGGCACUUGUGUUGUAUGUGCUCUCGCUUACAGUUUCAGGGGAAUAUUUCUACGUACCCUUGAAAAUGACUUACAUGAAGGCAUUAACUGCUUGCUCGGAAAACGGUCUUCAGUUGGUAGACGUGAAAACGAAUGAAACGCAAGGUCUAGUGUCUGCUUAUAUGAAAUAUAGGAACAAUGACAUCUGGAAUGGGCUUCACUAUAACGCUAGUUUGAGCAAGUUCCAGUGGGGAGACGGGGAGAUUGUACACUCACCAGGAUCUCUACCGUGGCAGGAUGGACAAC